rnacentral:rRNA from 1 species
GACGAACGCUGGCGGCGUGCCUAAUACAUGCAAGUCGAGCGAAUCACUAGGAGCUUGCUCCUGGUGGUUAGCGGCGGACGGGUGAGUAACACGUGGGCAACCUGCCUGUCAGACUGGGAUAACACCGGGAAACCGGUGCUAAUACCGGAUAAUCCUUUUCCUCUCAUGAGGAAAAGCUGAAAGUCGGUUCCGGCGGACACUUCCAGAUGGCCCCGCGGCGCAUUAGCGAGUUGGUGAGGUAACGGCUCACCAAGGCGACGAGGCGGAGCCGACCUGAGAGGGUGAUCGGCCACACUGGGACUGAGACACGGCCCAGACUCCUACGGGAGGCAGCAGUAGGGAAUCUUCCACAAUGGACGAAAGUCUGAUGGAGCAACGCCGCGUGAGCGAUGAAGGCCUUCGGGUCGUAAAGCUCUGUUGUUAGGGAAGAACAAGUACCGGAGUAACUGCCGGUACCUUGACGGUACCUAACCAGAAAGCCACGGCUAACUACGUGCCAGCAGCCGCCGUAACAC